AAAUAAUGAGGCAGACGUGGAGCCAGAGCACCUGGAGAGACAGCAAGCCCACUCUCCUGCCACUAGAGGUCAUGAAGAACUGAGACCAAGUCCGUUGGUAACCGUAACUAUUGAGAUGCAGAAGCUCGGGCUCCCCUGGCCUCCCUGACCUAUGGAAGCUUGCGUUCCCCUGUGUGCAUUCACCUGUGCGUCUCCUCGGUUCACGUGUCUGAAGGACACUCGCGAGAACACACCUGGGGCUCCAGGCUCAGGCCACCUUCAGGCCUGCAUCCCACACCUGGAGGUCCGCCUCUUGCACUUCUUGCCACGUGGAGAAGGCCGCCUGGGGUCUCAGAGUGCAUGGGGCAGAACUCACCCGUAAUCAGUUCCCUGGCUGGAAGGACAGACCAGGAGCCAAAGUUACUUGUGUUUCCUCUUCGGCCAGCAGCCCUGACCCCUCCGGACCUCUAGUGCUCCUGCCAGAUUUUAAACUCCUUCUCCCGGGGUUUCAACGGCUGCUGACUUACACCCUUCUCUUUGUGGCCUUGACCUCUUUCUCUCUGACUGGCUGGUUUGCAGUUUGGCCGUGCAACAGACACUGCUCCCCAACUACAGGCACAGGAAGCCACGGUGCUAAUGGAUUGAAAACAGGAUCCCAUAAUCCCAGGAUGCAACUACUGAAGUCUGUGUACCCCAGAGUCCGCGCUCUGCAACAAGAGAAGCCGCUGCAAUGAGAAGCCCAA